rnacentral:tRNA from 1 species
UGUCCGGUGGUGUAAUGGUAGCACAGAUGGUUUUGGUCCAUCCAGUUGGGGUUCAAAUCCCUGCCGGACAACCA